GAAAUGCGAUAAGUAAUGUGAAUUGCAGAAUUCAGUGAAUCAUCGAAUCUUUGAACGCACAUUGCGCCCCCUGGUAUUCCGGGGGGCAUGCCUGUUCGAGCGUCAUUUCACCACUCAAGCCUCGCUUGGUAUUGGGCGACGCGGUCCGCCGCGCGCCUCAAAUCGACCGGCUGGGUCUUUCGUCCCCUCAGCGUUGUGGAAACUAUUCGCUAAAGGGUGCCGCGGGAGUCCACGCCGUAAAACAACCCCAUUUCUAAGGUUGACCUCGGAUCAGGUAGGGAUACCCGCUGAACUUAAGC
rnacentral:misc_RNA from 1 species